rnacentral:rRNA from 1 species
GCCUAACACAUGCAAGUCGAGCGGAAACGGCAUAACGGAACCUUCGGGUGAAGAUAUGGACGUCGAGCGGCGGACGGGUGAGUAAUGCUUAGGAAAUUGCCCAGUAGAGUGGGAUAACUAUUGGAAACGAUAGCUAAUACCGCAUAAUAUCUUCGGAUCAAAGUGGNNNNCCAUUUGGCCUCAUGCUACUGGAUAUGCCUAAGUGAGAUUAGCUAGUUGGUGAGGUAAGAGCUCACCAAGGCGANGAUCUCUAGCUGGUCUGAGAGGAUGAUCAGCCACACUGGAACUGAGACACGGUCCAGACUCCUACGGGAGGCAGCAGUGGGGAAUAUUGCACAAUGGGC